rnacentral:rRNA from 1 species
UACGUAGGGUGCAAGCGUUGUCCGGAAUUAUUGGGCGUAAAGAGCUCGUAGGCGGUUUGUCGCGUCUGCUGUGAAAAUCCAGGGCUUAACCCUGGACCUGCAGUGGGUACGGGCAGACUAGAGUGCGGUAGGGGAGAUCGGAAUUCCUGGUGUAAGCGGUGAAUGCGCAGAUAUCAGGAGGAACACCGGGUGCGAAGGCGGAUCUCUGGGCCGUAACUGACGCUGAGGCGCGAAAGCGUGGGGAGCAAACGGG